rnacentral:lncRNA from 1 species
UCAGUGUGAUAAUCUAGACAAAGCUGCCAAGGGAGAGAUGCAGAAAGUGUUUCCUCUGAUUGGUACAGACAAGAAAAGCCCUUGAAAUGGACAGCUUGCAGGCAGAGCUUCCCUUUGAUGCUUCUAUUUCUCCACUCCUGUAAAGAAAAGACUGAUCCCAGUUGAGUCCUACCUAAGGACCAACUUGUGGUCACAGGUGAACUACCCUCUUCAAAUCCUGUUGGGCUAAUUUCCCCAGUCCCACAUCCGAGGUUGAAAUUUCACUAGUUCUGACAGAGAGAGAUCCCUUAUACUAUAAUAUCUGAGCAAUUUUUGCUCAGAUGCUUCAGCAACUGUAUUAUAGAACAGUCUUGGUUGGGUGUAUUAUCUGAAUUGUAAAGAACAGUUCCCUAGCAGUAGCUGAAAUGUACAACCUCUUGAUGGGAAUGUAAGCUAACACAUCCUUUACAAAAGGCAAAAUUGAUCCAGUAGUUCCUGUAAGAACCAUGUUAUGAUUCUUAUGUUAUUGGUAUAAAAUUGAAGGAAAUGCAUUAUCUGUUUUUCCAGGUUUGGUUACACAAACAUAAGCAACAACUGACCUGAGCAUGGAAAUCAUAACCACCACCUCGUUACUGAAUCUUCUGGUUUUCAAGAUGAGAGUAUACUGCUUUAUUUAAGGAUACCUUUUAGUGACUCUGCCAGAAAUGAAGAAGAGGAAGGAUGCGACCUGGAAGAUAUGUCCAUAAUGUGGUUCUUCAAAGAGUUCACGACUACCCUGGUGCCGUGUGCGGUUUAAAGAGGGAGCCAGGAGGGUCUGGAGCAAGGGAGCAAAGCUCACUCCGUUUACACAAAGCAGUGUGACAGUCCCAGCUAACUGCAAGUGUGCCUCUGGGAAUGCAGACAAAGGUGUCACCGUGAUUAAUGGGGUAAUUAAUAAGCAAUUAAUGUGCUUUAGAGCAUGGCUAUGCCUCUUAUCCCAGACAUCCACUAAGCACUGAUGCACUUUCUCUGGUGACAAUCAGAGUUCAGAGCAGCUUGGGCUGAUGAAGAUGAUGCUUGCAGAUUGUGAUGCCACCAAGAGCUCCUCAGUGCCACUCUGCACUGACACAACGGGAAGUCUGCUUUGGAGGGAGGGAAAGGAAAAUUGUGUUCUUUCUUUCUUUCUUUUUUUUUUUUCUU